AGUGAACGCUGGCGGUAGGCCUAACACAUGCAAGUCGAACGGCAGCACAGAGGAGCUUGCUCCUUGGGUGGCGAGUGGCGGACGGGUGAGGAAUACAUCGGAAUCUACUCUGUCGUGGGGGAUAACGUAGGGAAACUUACGCUAAUACCGCAUACGACCUACGGGUGAAAGCAGGGGACCUUCGGGCCUUGCGCGAUUGAAUGAGCCGAUGUCGGAUUAGCUAGUUGGCGGGGUAAAGGCCCACCAAGGCGACGAUCCGUAGCUGGUCUGAGAGGGCGAUAAGCCACACUGGAACGGAGACACGGUCCAGACUCCGACGGGAGGCAGCAGUGGGGAAUAUUGGACAAUGGGCGCAAGCCUGAUCCAGCCAUACCGCGUGGGUGAAGAAGGCCUUCGGGUUGUAAAGCCCUUUUGUUGGGAAAGAAAUCCAGCUGGCUAAUACCCGGUUGGGAUGACGGUACCCAAAGAAUAAGCACCGGCUAACUUCGUGCCAGCAGCCGCCGUAA
rnacentral:rRNA from 1 species